rnacentral:rRNA from 1 species
GAACGUGAGCCUUGAUUUCGGUCGAGGUGAAAGUGGCGAACGGGUGAGUAACACAUGGCUGACCUGCCCCUCAGAGGGGGAUAACUACUGGAAACGGUAGCUAAUACCCCGUACGCUCGUCCGGGUUAGAGGCCGGGUGAGGAAAGGCCGAAAGGCUGCUGAGGGAGGGGGCUGUGGCCCAUCAGCUAGUUGGUGGGGUAAUGGCCUACCAAGGCGAGGACGGGUAGGGGGCCUGGGAGGGUGACCCCCCACACGGGCACUGAGAGACGGGCCCGACUCCUACGGGAGGCAGCAGUAAGGGAUAUUGCGCCAAUGGGCGAAAGCCUGACGCAGCAACGCCGCGUGCGGGAAGACGGCCUUCNNNUUGUAANNCGCUUUGGAAGGGGACGAGGCAGGACGGUACCCUUGGAACAAGUCUCGGCUNNNUACGUGCCAGCAGCCGCGGUAAAACGUAGGAGGNNAGCGUUAUCCGGAGUUACUGGGNGUAAAGGGCGUGUAGGCGGCUGG